rnacentral:rRNA from 1 species
AUGGGAACGCGAAGAACCUUACCUAGACUUGACAUCUCCUGAAUAGUGUAGAGAUGCAUGAAGCCCUUCGGGGGCAGGAAGACAGGUGGUGCAUGGUUGUCGUCAGCUCGUGUCGUGAGAUGUUGGGUUAAGUCCCGCAACGAGCGCAACCCUUAUUACUAGUUGCUAACAUUAAGUUGAGCACUCUAGUGAGACUGCCCGGGUUAACCGGGAGGAAGGUGGGGAUGACGUCAAAUCAUCAUGCCCCUUAUGUCUAGGGCUACACACGUGCUACAAUGGUGGGAACAAAGAGAUGCAAUACCGCAAGGUGGNGCUAAACUCAAAACCCCAUCCCAGUUCGGAUUGUAGGCUGAAACUCGCCUACAUGAAGCUGGAGUUGCUAGUAAUCGCGAAUCAGAAUGUCGCGGUGAAUA